UGGUUCUUAGAUGCAGUGCCUGCCUCAGAGUCUGUCUAGACUUUUUAGGAGAGAGUCAAAGAAGCAAUGCUGGCGAUGCGUGCUCAGACCCAGCACAGGAUGAGAUGAUCUGGGAACUGGAAUGUCAGGAAUGACUUCACUAAGAGAUCAGAGGUGGUCUGAGAGCGGGUGACCAGAACAAGCCUGCCAGGCACAGAGAACAGCAUGUGCAAAGGAGUAAGGGAGAGCCUAGUAGGUCUGGGACAUGCCAGCAGUUCACUAGGCCUGGAUAGAAAGUUUGAGCAUGGGGAGAGGCCAGAGAAGGGGCUGGAGAAGGGAUGGGCCCAGGUCACAGGGAGCAAAGUCCACUGGCCCAAGAAGCCAGGGCUUCAUAGGGUCAGCAGUAGGGAGCCUGCCAGGGCUUUAAAGAGAGGAAAGACAUGAGCAGCUUAGCAUUUUAGAAAGUUCAUUCGACUGAAAAUGUGCAGAAAGCACAAACUAAAGCACAGACACAAAACAAGUUCAGAGGAUGUGGCUGUCACCCAGGACACACACCACCUCAUCCAGCCACAGUGGCCACAGUCCUCAGACUGGACAGCCCCUGUGUACCUGGGAUGCGGAGAGUGACCCAAGCCUCAAUCCUGGCCAGUGAGACUGCCCAUCGAGGUGGAAAUCAUCGUCUUAAUUACCAAGGCUCCCUGGCCACCGGAGGAGACACGCAACACACAGCCUGCCUAAUGCGCCAGCAGCCGAGUUGGGGAGGUCCCUGGGAAAAAGGCCUAUGCUCCCCCAGCCAUUCUCAGGGCCUAGAAUGUUCUUUAGCACGAGAGAAGUGAAGGCUCAGGGGUCCAGUGGGGAGGGCCGGGUACCAGCCCAGAAGUAGGUCUAGCCAGGGAGGUGGAGUCCCCAAGAAACACCCUCAGGAGCCUGCUGAGUCACAAUCAUCCCUCACAGCACGAAUGUCUCGCCUGCUCCCUGCACGCAGCUCACCUGGGACUCUCCUUCUGCCGGCAGGGUGAGGGGCCUUUGAAAGGCCUAAACCAGAAAGGCUGGAGGGGCUGAAGGCAGGAGCCAGCUGGCCCCAAUCCUGUUCUCUCUGGAGCCCCUCAGUCCUUAGCCCAGCCCCCAGGUGUGUCUUGUCUCCUUCUUAGAGGCUCCAACGGCCAGAGCUCCCCACUCCCAACCUACCAUCUUGUCCCAGAGAUGGAAGACAACAUGGGAGCGGCCCCUCACAGCCAGAGUACCUUCAAGACCAUGUGGCACCACCAGACUGAAACCCAGGUCCGGUGGGCUCUGCCAUCCCCAUGCCAAGCAGAGGGAAGGAGGGGGUGGGAGGACAGAAGAAGGAGUGGGCGGGGUGAGUCUGUGGUGGUUUGGAUUGAGAUGAGCUGGACUUACGUGUGUGACAGCUUUUCCUCUGGUCCCAACCUUAUACCUUUGGUUUUCCUGCUCUGGGCCACUGUAAAAUGAGGAUUGGGCAUGAGAUAUGUGGUUUUCAAAUGCUCCUCCCAGAGCCCUGGCACUCUAUGGCGGAGAAUCAGAGCCAUUGCAGCUCUGGUCUUAGCGUUAUACACCGACCAUCACCCCUAAGGUUUCAUUUGCAGAACCAGCCCACAGCCGAAGAACCUUUGGUCACCUCUGGGCAAGGUGACACCUGUGUCCUUCCUGGCCUGAACCUUCCAGAAAUGGACAGCGCCAUGUCUGCUGCUGGGGGAGAGGGGACAGACCCAGAAGGAGGAGCCAAAGGAACUUACUUUUUUUUUUUUUUUAAGACGGAGUUUUGCUCUUGUUGCUGAGGCUGGAGUGCAAUGCCGUGAUCUCGGCUCACUGCAAACUCCGCCUCCCAGGUUCAAGCGAUUCUCCUGCCGCAAACUCCGCCUCCCAGGUUCAAGCGAUUCUCCUGCCUCAGCCUCCUGAGUAGCUGGAAUUACAGGCAUGUGCCACCACACCUGGCUAAUUUUGUAUUUUUAGUAGAGACGGGGUUUCUCCAUGUUGGUCAGGCUGGUCUCGAACUCCUGACCUCAGGUGAUCCACCCACCUUGGCCUCCCAAAGUGCUGGGAUUACAGGCGUGAGCCACUGUGCCUGGCAGGAACUUACUUUUUAAAACUUAGAUUGAGUCCAAAUACAUAUGUCCGAGACAUGAAAGGAUGAAACUGGCUAUGGGACACGGGCUCAGAAUGAGGAGACCCAGAGGAAAAUGUGCACCCAUGUUCACUGCUACAUGCCUAUGUGCACACAUGUACACCGGCGCACACAUGCACAUGCACACACACACAGCUGCCCCUCACAGCCCUGUCUACAUGGAAGGCACCAAGAGGCAUUUCCAUGCUUCUCCCUCUGAGCCCCAACCCACUCCCACUUACCACCUCUCUGGACUCCUCAAGUUGACCUAGCAGAGCUCUGUCAGGAGAUGAGGAAAAUGUCUCUGUUUUUCAAAUAUUUGGAUCUUGCUAAAGACCAACACAUUUUUUUAAGUGUGUAUAAUUUUAGGGCAAUUUGAUCCAUAUGUUUCUGAUUCUCUUGCACUUAAAUCAUCAAAAUAUUGAUUUUUAAGAGCCAUUUGAUGUCGAAGGAACCUUUUUAAUAAGCUUUUAAAGCUCUUUAAACCCAGAGCCUGGAGCCAGGGCCAGAGCUCAGGCUGUCCGCUGGCCAGUCGCACCCUCCCCUCCCCUGGGUCAGGAUUACUUGGAGCUGAGUCUCACUUCCCCUCUUCCUGGCCUCCCUGCCUCCCCAAGAACUACCCAGGGGUGCUGACAGAGGGGCCCAACCCCUUCUGUUCACAGACUUCUCUCAUGCUUCUUCAAAGCAUGCCUAAGACACAAACCAAGAGGAGCAGUCAUGAUCUUUACUUCUUAAAGGCUGCAUAAAAUUUAGUUGCAUAAAUGUGACAUAAUGUAUUUAACCAACGCCUGUUGACGGAUGUUUAGGUCAUUUCCCGUGGUACACCUUUAUGCACAUUUCUGAUUGUUUCGUUUGGAUCCAUUUCCAAAAGUAAAAAUACUGCGUCAAAAAGUAGGCACAAUUUAUGUCUCUGCACUCAUAAGUUGCCACGUUAUUUUCUAAAAGAGUCCACCAAUUCAUACUUUCACAGUCUCCUCCCCACCUCCCCACUCCCACCCCACACUCUUGAGUGGAAUUCUCGUUAUUCCUAUCCAAAUGGUGCCAUUCCAUCUGCACAUGUGGAAGCUCUCUAGCACAGCAGUUAAGAGGAGGCUCUGGAACAGAGAGCUUGGGUUUGAAUUCCAGUUCUGCUGUUUCCUAAUUGGGAAAGUUGCUUUUUCUGUCCUUGCCUCUGUUUUCUCAUCUAUAAUUUGGGGGAUAAUAAUGGCACCUACCACGUAAGUUUAUUGUGAGGAUUUAAUGUGAUCAUCGAUACAAACUUAAACUACUUGGAAAAGCGCCUGAUGCACGGUUUGUGUUCAGUAAAUGAUAGCUAGUAUUGUUAUCCUUUAUGCUUUUUUUUCCAACCUAGGAUACUCUCUCUCUUUCCUUCCCUUCUGUCUGACCAACUGCCGCUCACACGUCAGGUGUCUGUUCGGAUGCCCCGCCCUUGUUAGCGUUCCCACAACACCCACCCCUUUGAUACACUGGCAACGCGUGCCAUUACUCAUCUUUACACUUAGUGUCUAUCUUUCCUGCCACGCUGUCAGCUCCAAGAGGGCAGAUUUGGGGUUUAUCGAAUUCCCAGAGCCUACUACCGUGCCUCACAUGCUGCAGACACCCCAUAAUUAUGUGUUGAAUUGAGCAGAACUGAAUCGAAUGAACUGUGUCAGCUAGGGGUCACUUUUGACCCAUAAUUUCCAAAAAUUCUAUUCACCCACAAAGGACAGAGAUUUGCAUCUUGAGGAUAAUCAAAAGAAUGUGUUGAGGUUCAAAAGGUGAGUCCCCAAGAUGAGUCCACAAAUGUUUAAGGAGAUGGCAGCAUCACUGGUGGCACCUCUGUGGCCAGUGUGGGUGGAUGACCCUGUUCUGCAGGGAAAGUCCUGCUGACACCAACCAUGAGCAAGGCCAGUCCCGUGAGCGAAAGCCUACCUCAUUAUUCAUCUUCGAUUUGUUCUUUCACUUUCAGAUACUUUUUCCUUGUCUUUCCAACAGAGAAAGGACUGUGCCUCUUCCUUUUGUGGCCCUGUGCUAGACACCGUGCUGGGUAUUUGCCAAAUGAGGCAUGAACGGUGCUCCUCCUUCUCGUGACGUGUAAGUCUUGGAGAACAGCCACAAUUCUGCGGAUGAUUAGGAAGUGCCUUCCUGUCACACUCACUGCUCCACACUGGAGAAGCUCAUCACUGCACACCCCGCCUCACAGGGCAGUCUGGAGAUUGCUGCUGUUGCGAUUCAUGGCCCUUGGGUUCCCCAGAAGCUCACUAGAGCCUGGACAUCCCAGAGGAAGGCCUCAAGCUCCAGACAGGGUCUGAAUUCCAGGAGACGAGGCAGAGAGAGCCCCUCAUUUCUCUCCUUUAGCCCCCAGUGACUCCGUCCCAUACUCACAGGGGAGCCCAGUUCUGCCCAAAAAGUCCCAUUUCAAUUCGAAUGAAUUCAACUCAAUCUCAACGAUACUAGCAUUGUGCAAGCCAGAGCUGGGGAGCUGGGCACACAGACACAUGAAAUAGGCUGUUAUCAAGGUACAGGGUAAGAAGUGUUCUUAGGGAAUUACAGUGACCCCUACCCCAGCAAACACCAAUUUCUCGUGCUUUCAUCUCCUAUGCCACUUUCUGUCCAUAGGGUUCAUUAUGGAAGAGACUAUGUACUGUUCACUAUCACAAGUUCAUUGUUCAUGGGGGUGAGUGUGCAUGUGUGUUUCUGUGUGUGUUUUCAUGUAUGCAUACGUGUGUGUGUGUGUGUGUAUGUGUGUGUGUGUUUAGGAUUUAAGUUCCUGGAGGGCAAAGAUCAUAUGGUGAGUUUCCCUGACUCUUCCACAGAUCUUACACAAGGCUAGGCAUAAAGCUGCUCUUCAAUAAACACAUCAAUUAAUGAA